rnacentral:rRNA from 1 species
AGUGAACGCUGGCGGCAGGCCUAACACAUGCAAGUCGAGCGGCAGCGGGUCCUUCGGGAUGCCGGCGAGCGGCGGACGGGUGAGGAAUACAUCGGAAUCUGCCCUGUCGUGGGGGAUAACCUAGGGAAACUUAGGCUAAUACCGCAUACGACCUACGGAUGAAAGCGGGGGAUCGCAAGACCUCGCGCGACAGGAUGAGCCGAUGUCCGAUUAGCUAGUUGGCGGGGUAAAGGCCCACCAAGGCGACGAUCGGUAGCUGGUCUGAGAGGAUGAUCAGCCACACUGGGACUGAGACACGGCCCAGACUCCUACGGGAGGCAGCAGUGGGGAAUAUUGGACAAUGGGCGCAAGCCUGAUCCAGCCAUGCCGCGUGGGUGAAGAAGGCCUUCGGGUUGUAAAGCCCUUUUGUCCGGGAAGAAAUCGUCUGGGCUAAUACCCCGGGCGGAUGACGGUACCGGAAGAAUAAGCACCGGCUAACUUCGUG